GGUAUAGCUCAGUUGGUUAGAGCAUCGGAUUGUGGUUCCGAGGGUCGAGGGUUCGAGUCCCUUUACC
rnacentral:tRNA from 2 species